GUUGAUAAAUUACGUGCAAAAGGUUACUUCGUGGCAAUAUACCUUCGUUUCGAGAUGGACGUGCUGGCAUUUGCUGGGUGAUCUAGCCAUAACAGGCGAGGCUGUAGGCUGCUGGGGGGGUGCCUUUGGCACGUGCAGGUGGUCGGCAGCCCAGUGCUGCCAUGUUUGGGCUAUAUUGGUUGCAGAUGAGUGGUUUUGGAAUCGUUCCAAGACCAGCAACACUGUGAGGAGAAGCUUGCCGGUGUCUAGGCGUCAGCUGCCCUGCCUCGCCGCAGACAGCGCCCAGCGCUGCUAUGCAACAAGGGCCAGACAAACUGGCCAUGGCACUCACCGCGAAACUGGUUCCUAGGUGAACCAGAAGCUUUAACAUUAAUUAUGAUUCUGCCAAUCCAAUGUAACACGUAAAAAUAUUUUUAAUUAAAAAAGCCAGAUUGGAAAAGCCAAGUAUGCUUUUGACCGGAGCUCACACUGGAAGGACUUCUCUGUAAUAAAAAUAAAGUUUAAUGAUUUUAUUUUAAUAAAUCGAUGUUAGUGGGCAAAAAUAAAGUACCUAGAUUUAGUGACGGUCGAUGGAAUUUACCCUCAUAAUACAUCUCUUCAAACUUUAGUUUCUUUUGUAUUUUCUACUUGUUAGCUCCAAAGAUGUUUUAAUGGAAUUGAACUGAAAUUUGUCAAGUGUGAUUUGGUUGCAGUAUAUAUUUUAACUCAUGCAAUGCCAGUUUUAUUUAUGUUGAGCAUCCUUUUAACUGGUAAACUAAACCCUUUAUCUCAGCAUCUUUCCUGUUCCUUUCUAUUUUUCUUGAUGUAUCAAUGUGAUUUUUAUUGAAAGAUUAUUGAGCCUUGUUUUUCCUCUAGCUAUUUUCCUGUCUUGCAUGUUGAUCGACUUGAUUCUUGGAAUAACCUCUAAGGAAUUAUAGCGAAGACAGUUAGAGGGAUGUGGUCUUACUAGCUUUACUGUCAUCGCAAUUUUGGUAUCACUGAGUUGCAAGUUAAUGUAAUUUGUGCAAUUUGAUGAUUUGUUCUUUUUUAUAUUUCUGAGAUCUGAAGUUAAUAUUGGUGGUUGUUUUUAGUUGACAUUUUUAAAUGUUCUUUUAUAAUUUAAUUUUUUAAUUGAUGCUAUUUUAAUGGGAUUAUAUAUCUGUCAAAUUAUAACAAAUGAGCAAUGGGAGGAUGUUGUUGUAGGACCAUGCAAAAUUUAAGGCGCCU
rnacentral:misc_RNA from 1 species